rnacentral:misc_RNA from 1 species
UACAAACAACUCCAAAAAAAUCAUGAUCAUGACACGCUUUUGUGAUUUGAUAUCAAUUUUGCUUGUUUUAUAAGCCCUUUCUAUGACAAGAAUAGCACAUCACCGGUUCCGACCACUCUGAGGCAAACAGCCUCAGGAUUAAAAGGUAAGUGUUUAGAGUAUUAUUUCAGAGGUCUAGGUGGAUUGGGGUGAUAUCAAGAUUCAAAUGUCGGAUAAUUCUGAUCAUAUCUAGUGUAGUACUUCAACACGUCCAAUUGAAGAAAAAAUUGUCAUAAUUUGUUGUUGUUAAGCUUCGAAAGAAACUAUGGAAAAGUAUGUGAGAGCUGCAUCACUUUGCUACUUCAUUGUAUAUGCGAAUUGACAAUACAAAACAUGAUUGUUUUAUUUUAGAUUAGCAGUGAAUCUGUAGAGAGAAUGCUAUAAUAAUGAUAACCUCAGUGUUUGUUUUCUAUCACUAAGACCAUCGUAUAGCCCUGUCAUGAGACUCGUCACAGCAGACAUCUAGAAGUAGACAAGCACUCACCCGAUUGGGUAGGAGGGAUGGGGGCCUUGCGAAGAAGGAGAAAAAAACCCCGAUGUGGGUACACAUCAGCCCUCACAAUUCGUCGCGACCCUGUGAGGCUUAUCUGUGACCCCAUCGUGACAUGCCUGCAGUCACGUGACAUCUCGACCCUCAGAGCGCGGCCACCACAUCGCUUUUUAAACGCCGCUGGGAAUUCGUGACAACAAACAGAAUCAGUCCACGCUGCCUCUCAGCCUGCAGCCAGAGGAUCCACCUUUCACCUGCUGUCAUCAUCAGAUCAGGUAGUACUUAUGACGAGAAAGGUAACCUGCGGCAGUGGUGGCAAAAGGACGAUCUAAAGACCUUCGAAAGUCGAACUCAGUGCAUGGUGGAUCAGUACAGUCAGUUCGUGGACAAGGAGCUGAAUAUGACCGUCGAUGGCCGCCAGACUAUAGAUGAAAACAUCGCGGACUCUGUAGGAAUUAAAAAGGCCUUCAGGGCAUAUCGCAGUGUUAUCACAGAGAGAGGCCAAGAAGAGAACAAGUACCCGACACUACCGUACUCGCAGAACCAGAUCUUCUUUAUCGGCUUUGCACAAAAUUGGUGCAUUAAUGCAGUGCCGGGUGCUCGUGCGUUCAUGCUAAGGUACCACGUCCACAGUCCAGGUUACAUAAGGAGAAGCCAGAAAACGAGGACAGAGCGAGGACUAACCCUACAAACAAGAAAUCAGAUACAGAGAGCGUCACACGACGAGAUUUGAACCCGAGGCUUUCCCUGCAUAGUCAUGGGUCUCUGCACAUCGCAACUCAUCUUCCACGAUCCACCGACCAGCCACCAACUCGGUCACCGCUGGACUUUUGAGCAUGAAGAGGAAGGAAGAAGUGGAACAAGCAUCUCCUGCCAAACGAACAAGACGAGCUGUAGCUGGUCAAUGAUAUACCUAUGUUUAGGAGUUACUUUGUUUGAUUUUUAUGUCAACAACAUUCCAGAUGACCCCAGAGGCAGCUGUGCCAAUUAAAAUGAAAAACAAUAACCCCAAACUGGAAAUGUUACUGUCAACUUCAUUGGAAAUCACAUUCUUGCCAUGCACUUUUUCUUGUUUUCUCCUUUAAACCUUUAUUUUUUUGGCUCCAUUUCAAUCCUGGCUACCUUUUCGUACACUGCCAUGUCCCAAACUAGAGUACAAAAUGCUUUGUGCAAGCUAUUUAUAAACAGGUGAAAGGAAUGAGGGCAAAAAUGGACAUACAGAGAAGAGACUGCAGCUGAUUUGAAUGGAAAUAUGUACAAGUUCAUUUGUUAUGCUGUUUAUAAAAUAUAAAUCACAUUUUACUAAAUUAAUGUAGUAGAUUAAUGUUUUAUAACAAUUAUAUAUGACAAAGAGGAAAGUUGAAGGAUAAUUGCAAAGUGUGUGUGUGGUUUCAUUCAAAUGUGAAAACAUGUCUUCGUUCUUAUGACAGAAUGAUAGUCUCUAAAUGAGAAAUACUGUGCAGAUGUAUACUUACAUUUGUGCAUUUUGUGCAUAAAGAAAGCAUGAGAAGGUCAACUGUCAAUGUGCAGUGUUAAUUCAACCAAAACUUGCCAAAAGUGAUCAGAUAUUUGCUAUUUAUGUUGCAUCAGAAAAAAUUUGGUUUAUAUUUAUUUGCAUUUUUUAAAUUCUUUGCUUUGCAGCAGACAAACUGAAUACAGUCAUAAAUGACCAAAUAUGAUUGCCAAGUGCUCCUUUAAAGCUGAAAGGUUAAAGCUUAUUCCUCUGCUGAUUCUAGAUGCUUAGCCUACAUCAAGCCUUACACCAUACUCCCCCAAAAAAAGAAGAAAAAUGUCUAACAAAUCUAACAGCACAAAUGAUCCACAGAAAAUUUAUACAAAUUGCUGUGCCUUGAAGAUAAACCAUAACCGACAGGCAUGAAAAAUUGGUUGGAGAAAGAAGCAACAGAUCAUCACAAAUUUCUAGGCAAAGAAGAUUUAUAACUGAUAUGACUGUCUUUUGUCAUUUGUGCACUACUGAGGUUUUCAUGAUCUUUUAUAAUGGUCCUCUGUUAUCACAACUAUGACAUAGGCACAAACUGUUGAUAAAUACAGCCAUAACAGUCCAAUAAUAAUCUCCAGCAUAUUAUAGCUGUUCACUGUGAAAUGAGAACAUUGUUAAGGGUGAAUGAACAUGUCACAAACCAUUUUCUGUUAUAAAGGCAAAGUAUAUUAUUACCUGACCCAAUUUUGGCAAACAUAUAUCUGGCUGUUUCAAAAUUUUAUCAAUUAAUGAAGCUAUUUUACUAGAGGCCCAACAAGCAGUCUUUUACAGAGGAACAUGUGGAAGAGUUGUCAACCCUAUUUUGAAAAUGAACUGUGGGUUCAUAAACACUGAUAUCUAAUGACACCCUCAGUGUGAGCAUUUAAGAAAUGAAUCCUAUUUUGCGUGCGCUCAGAAAACGGCAUGAUGAAAAUAAACACAUCUGUUAAUAAAAAUGUGUUACUAAAAUCUGGUUCAUUUACAACCUUGACAUUUCAUAAUAUUAGCACUAUUGUUUACUCUUGGUAUGUGACAUUGCUUUCCAUUUGUGACUUAUUUAUGUGAAGGUUGUGCCUUACAAUUCUGCUGUCUAUUUUGUGUGUGUAUGUGGGGGGAGGGGGAGUGGUGGUGGUGUGUGUGUGAGAGAGAGAACGCAAUCUAAAGGAAUCUCAUACACAGCUGUAUCGGGCACCUAUUUUUACUUUUUUAUUUGUACUAGUUUGUACACUAUAUAGAUUCUGUUUGUGCUUUCAUUUUUAUUAUUAAAUGUGAAAGUGUCCACAAUUGUGGAUAAUAAAUAAUGUCAAUUGAA